AAAACGACUCUCGGCAAUGGAUAUCUCGGCUCUCGCAUCGAUGAAGAGCGCAGCGAAAUGCGAUACGUGGUGCGAAUUGCAGAAUCCCGCGAACCAUCGAAAAUUUGAACGCAAGUUGCGCCCAAAGCCAGCUGGCUGAGGGCACGUCCGCCUGGGCGUCAAGC
rnacentral:rRNA from 2 species